GACGAACGCUGGCGGCGUGCUUAACACAUGCAAGUCGAACGGAAAGGCCCUGCUUUUGUGGGGUGCUCGAGUGGCGAACGGGUGAGUAACACGUGAGUAACCUGCCCUUGACUUUGGGAUAACUUCAGGAAACUGGGGCUAAUACCGGAUAGGAGCUCCUGCUGCAUGGUGGGGGUUGGAAAGUUUCGGCGGUUGGGGAUGGACUCGCGGCUUAUCAGCUUGUUGGUGGGGUAGUGGCUUACCAAGGCUUUGACGGGUAGCCGGCCUGAGAGGGUGACCGGCCACAUUGGGACUGGGAUACGGCCCAGACUCCUACGGGAGGCAGCAGUGGGGAAUAUUGCACAAUGGGCGGAAGCCUGAUGCAGCAACGCCGCGUGCGGGAUGACGGGCUUCGGGUUGUAAACCGCUUUCGCCUGUGACGAAGCGUGAGUGACGGUAAUGGGUAAAGAAGCACCGGCUAACUACGUG
rnacentral:rRNA from 1 species